rnacentral:rRNA from 1 species
CGCCUCCUGCAAAAAUCAACGUAUAGGAGGUCUUGCCUGCCCAGUGACAAGUUAAACGGCCGCGGUAUUUUGACCGUGCGAAGGUAGCGCAAUCACUUGUCUUUUAAAUGAAGACCUGUAUGAAUGGUGGAACGAGGGCUUAACUGUCUCCCUUUUCAAGUCAAUGAAAUUGAUCUGCCCGUGCAGAAGCGGACAUACCAAUACAAGACGAGAAGACCCUUUGGAGCUUAAGAUACAAGAUUAACUAUGUCAAGAACCAAGAACUAGGUUAAACUAAAUAGCUGCCUAAUCCCUAUCUUCGGUUGGGGCGACCACGGGAGAAAACAAAGCUCCCAUGCGGACUGGGGUUAAACCCUAAAACCAAGAAAGACAUCUCUAAGUCACAGAACAUCUGACCAUAAAGAUCCGGCCUAACCCGCCGACCAACGGACCAAGUUACCCUAGGGAUAACAGCGCAAUCCCCUCCCAGAGUCCAUAUCGACAAGGGGGUUUACGACCUCGAUGUUGGAUCAGGACAUCCUAAUGGUGCAGCCGCUAUUAAGGGUUCGUUUGUUCAACGAUUAAAGUCCU